rnacentral:rRNA from 1 species
UACGGAGGAUGCGAGCGUUAUCCGGAUUUAUUGGGUUUAAAGGGUGCGUAGGCGGAUUUUUAAGUCAGCGGUAAAAUGUCCGGGCUCAACCCGGGCCGGCCGUUGAAACUGGGGAUCUUGAGUGGGCGAGAAGUAUGCGGAAUGCGUGGUGUAGCGGUGAAAUGCAUAGAUAUCACGCAGAACUCCGAUUGCGAAGGCAGCAUACCGGCGCCCGACUGACGCUGAGGCUCGAAAGCGUGGGUAGCGAACAGG